UGUGUUAAAGUUCUAAUCAAUAUAGUAGAUAGUAAAUACUGCAGCCUAAUCUACUCUCUUGUUUUCUCCAAAUUAAUAAGGACAUACAGCUGUAGCAUGAUGGUCUUCCAGGAAAUUAUCGUGUCUUUUCAGCAAAGAUUUCAUUGUUCGAGGAAUGCAUAAUGCUGGACAGAGCUCUUGAGGAGAUGCAGAAAAAGGAUAGCAAAAUUGUUGACAAGCUAUCAUUCAAAGAACAAAUGGCCUACGUUUUGUUGAAAGUUGGCCGCUUUGAGGAGGCUGAGAAAACAUAUAGGUCCAUGCUUUUUAUGAAUCCUGAUAACUACAAGUGUUUCAUAGCUAUUCAAAAGUGCCUUGGUCUAUACUCAGAGAAUGGUCAGUAUUCCACUGAUGAUGUUGACCGAUUAUGCACAUUUUAUAGCUCACUUAAAAAAGAAUAUGGUUGGUCAUCUGUUGUUAAGGUAAACUACCUCAAAUUGUUUUUAUUUUUUCUUUGUUCCUUCAUGUUAAAUUGUUGGGUUCUCCGGGCACACAACAGUAUCUUGAUAUAUGUGGUAUUUAUUCGUUCUAUAUUGCAACACUAAUAACUAAUUUGCUGAAUCCCAAGUUGUCUAUCCAUAUAUAUGGUGAGUGGGGCAUGCACUGUAGAAGCUGUGAAUCUAAAAUUGUCUCUAAUUGCAACAACGCAUACCCCUUGAUUUCCUGGAAGAAGAGAAAUUUCAGGAGGCAGCAGAUAAUUAUGUCAGAACCCUAUUAACCAAGGUAAAUUCAGCCACUCUUAGGAGGUACUUUUAGUUUCUAUUUACGGUGUCUCAUUUUUGGUUAUAUAGGUAUGAAAAAUAAACAUUAUGUAGGGCAAUCUGUAUAGCAAAGAUAGUAGUACUGUUAGAUACUGUAAAUAAAUGAAACAAGACAAGGCAAUAACGCUUGAAUGAUUGUUCAGUUAUAAUUCAUUGAGAGGAAUUUCUUCCAAGUGAAAAAUAAGAUUAUCAUUAUUUUUUUAGAGCAGUAGCUACCAAACAGUUAUGGUUUAAAUUAUAUAAUUUAGUAUUAUUUUAUCAUUUUCCAUUCUUUACAUGUUUCAUACUGUGAACAAUUAGUACUUUUUUUUGUUCAACAACUUCAAUCUAUGAUCAAUUUUAAGAACAUAUAAACUCAUACUGAAUUAUGUGCUAUAUUUGUUAUAUAUUAUACAAUUGCAAUACGUAAUAUUAUUGAUGUGAAAUCUAAGGUAUAAAACUUGUCAAUUGUUUUUCUUGUCAUUUUAAAUUCAUGUACUUGCCUCAUAAAAUUUGUAUAAAUAUUGGGGUUUUAUUUUUAAAGAGCAAAUUAGAGCAGAGUUCAGAGUAUGCUCAUGUUGCUUGCUGUUGGGUAUACCUCCCAGGGGAUGGGAUGCUCUUAUCCGUCCUCAACAAAAUUCGUGGUGGCUGGCCGGCCUUUUCAUUCUACUCAGAAACGUUGUUACUGUGGUGCUACAGCUGCGACUGCUUACCUUGCUCUGUUAGCUUUUUUUGGAUUGCUAAUUUCAAAUGCGAAAUUGGUUAUUAGUGUUUCUUGUUUAUACAGCACAUGAAUCAGUAUGUAGAAUCAUACUUUACACUGCCAUUUUCUCCAAAGAGGGUGUGAUAAGCACUUCUGCAUCCAUUUGAACUCAUAUAUACUUGUGUGCCCUUUAGUUUUGCAGGAUAAUUAUAUGAAAGAAGGAAUUAAAAUGAGAAUUUUCUUCAACAGUUCAGUGUUCCUCAUAGAACAUCGAGUUCGACGCUCCUCUAUGUCUGGAGUUACGUAGCACAUUUUUACUAGCAGAAAUGGUGAACAUGGAGUAGUACCACGUUACAUUGAGAGUCAUCUUAAUCUACCAGAGGAUACCAUUAGGUAUAUCUCUCUCCAUCGCACUCUAAAAUAUAUUUAUCAGGUAUAUCCCUCUCCAUCGCACUCUCUGGAAUAUAUUUUGGCUUAUUUACAUAAUCCUAUCAUGCUCUCUUUCACAGUAAUAUAUUUCUAGAAAAUGUUGAUUUGGGUAAUAUUUGUUCGUCGAUGACAACCAUUUCAUGUCCAUAAUGAAUGGUUUAUUAUGUUUUCAACAUGACAAAGCCAUAUGUAUGCUUCAUAGUUUGAGACUGCUGUGUGACAGAAAUUUAUGUAUGCCCGCAAGAGUAGUUUGUGGAGAGCGCCUUGUAUGAUUUUCGAAAUAUCACCAAGCAACGAGCUUAUGGUUGGAUUUUCUUCGGAAGCUUCUUUUGUGCUUCGACUGCUAUGCCUGUACAAAGUUCACAGAUAAUAAACUAGAAAUAAAAUAACCUGGUCCCUCAGAUGAUUUAUCUAUGUUUUGUGCUCAUCAAAGGAAAGCAGGACCUGACCCUCCUGACCAAGUUCAAGUUGUGACAUAAGGUUUGCAAGAGUAGAGUGAAUCUCCUCGUAGCAAAUUUUCAUCAGUUUAUCUCAUUAUUGUGUAAAACUCUGAUUUUAUUUUACAUAUACAUCAGUGCAUUUAUCGUGUAAAACUCUGAUUUUAUUUUUUAUAUGCAUCAGUGUGCAUAAUCUUUAGGAUUGUAAAUUUGUAAUGGUGGGUGAGAGCUUUGUUCUCAUCAGAAUCUUUAGCACCAUUUCUAUUAAAUUACUCAUCAAUGGGUAACCUGUGUAUGCUGUUCGAUUCAUGUGCCUACAACUUUGCUCAAGAAAGAAUAGUCCUUUCUUGGUUGUCUUAGACAAUCACUGAUUUAGUCUGAAAGCAAAUAAUUUAACCU